GGCUUAGAGUUUGAUCCUGGCUCAGAUUGAACGCUGGCGGCAUGCCUUACACAUGCAAGUCGAACGGCAGCACGGGGGGUAACCCCUGGUGGCGAGUGGCGAACGGGUGAGUAAUAUAUCGGAACGUGUCCUGUAGCGGGGGAUAACCUAUCGAAAGAUGGACUAAUACCGCAUACGCUCUACGGAGGAAAGCGGGGGUUUUCGGGCAACUGAGGACCUCGCACUAUAGGAGCGGCCGAUAUCGGAUUAGCUAGUUGGCGGGGUAAAAGCCCACCAAGGCGACGAUCCGUAGCUGGUCUGAGAGGAUGAUCAGCCACACUGGAACUGAGACACGGUCCAGACUCCUACGGGAGGCAGCAGUGGGGAAUUUUGGACAAUGGGCGCAAGCCUGAUCCAGCCAUGCCGCGUGAGUGAAGAAGGCCUUCGGGUUGUAAAGCUCUUUCGGCAGGAACGAAAUGGUUCGUGCUAAUACGACGGACUGAUGAAAGGUACCUGAAGAGGGAGCNCCAA
rnacentral:rRNA from 1 species